rnacentral:rRNA from 1 species
UACAGAGGUCUCAAGCGUUGUUCGGAUUCAUUGGGCGUAAAGGGUGCGUAGGUGGCGCCAUAAGUCGGGUGUGAAAUCUCGGGGCUUAACUCCGAAACUGCAUUCGAUACUGUGGUGCUUGAGGACUGGAGAGGAGACUGGAAUUCUUGGUGUAGCGGUGAAAUGCGUAGAUAUCAAGAGGAACACCUGCGGCGAAGGCGGGUUGCUGGGCCGACACUGACGCUGAAGUGCGAAAGCCAGGGGAGCGAACGGG